rnacentral:rRNA from 1 species
GAGUUCACUCCCAAACCCCUGUGAACAUACCUUACUGUUGCCUCGGCGGAUCAGCCCGCUCCCGGUAAAACGGGACGGCCCGCCAGAGGACCCCUAAACUCUGUUUCUAUAUGUAACUUCUGAGUAAAACCAUAAAUAAAUCAAAACUUUCAACAACGGAUCUCUUGGUUCUGGCAUCGAUGAAGAACGCAGCAAAAUGCGAUAAGUAAUGUGAAUUGCAGAAUUCAGUGAAUCAUCGAAUCUUUGAACGCACAUUGCGCCCGCCAGUAUUCUGGCGGGCAUGCCUGUUCGAGCGUCAUUUCAACCCUCAAGCCCUCGGGUUUGGUGUUGGGGAUCGGCGAGCCUUUCUGGCAAGCCGGCCCCGAAAUCUAGUGGCGGUCUCGCUGCAGCCUCCAUUGCGUAGUAGUAAAACCCUCGCAACUGGAACGCGGCGCGGCCAAGCCGUUAAACCCCCAACUUCUGAAUGUUGACCUCGGAUCAGGUAGGAAUACCCGCUGAACUUAAGCAUAUCAAUAGCCCGGGAGGAA